rnacentral:rRNA from 1 species
UGUGAUCAAGCUACUAAGGGCAAACGGUGAAUGCCUUGGUGCCAAGAGGCGAUGAAGGACGUAGCAAGUUGCGAUAAGCCGCGGGAAGCCGCAAGCAGGCGUUGAUCCGCGGAUUUCCGAAUAGGACAACCUAAUCCUGAUAACUCGGGAUUAUCACUGGAUGAAUUCAUAGUCCGGUGAAGCGAUACGGGGUGAAGUGAAACAUCUCAGUAACCCCAGGAAAAGAAAACGAAGCGAUUCCGUCAGUAGUGGCGAGCGAACUCGGAACAGCCUAAACCGGGAAGACUUGUCUUCCCGGGGUAGCGGGACCUUGAUGUGAGAAGUGGAGAGUUAGUGUAACGAUCUGGAAAGUUCGGCCGUAGACCGUGACAGCCGGGUGCGCGAAAGCUCAAAGCUCUCUAGAGGUUUCCCAAGUAGCACGGUGCACGUGAAACUCUGUGCGAAUCCGUCCGGACCACCGGAUAAGGCUAAAUACUCCUUGGCAACCGAUAGUGAACAAGUACCGCGAGGGAAAGGUGAAAAGAACCCCUGCUAGGGGAGUGAAAGAGUACCUGAAACCAUUUGCCUACAAUGUGUCGGAGCUCCGAAGAAAUUCGGAGUGACGGCCUGCCUUUUGCAUAAUGAGUCUGCGAGUUAUUGUCUGUGGCAAGCCUAAGUCCUUUUGGGACGGAGGCGAAGGGAAACCGAGUACGAAACGUGCGUUCAGUUGCAGGCAAUAGACCCGAAGCGGAGGUGAUCUACUCUUGAGCAGGUUGAAGCCUGGGUAACACCAGGUGAAGGACCGAACUCGUGGAUGUUGAAAAAUCCUGAGAUGACUUGAGAGUAGGAGCGAAAGACUAAUCAAACCCCGUGAUAGCUGGUUCUCUCCGAAAUAGCUUGAGGGCUAGCGUUGGGUCAGUACUCCGAGGAGGUAGAGCACUGGAUGGCUUAGGGACCCCACCAGGUUACCAAAACCAACCAAACUCCGAAUACCUCGGAUCCCAGUAACCCAGCAUUCAGACGGCGGGGGAUAAGCUUCGUCGUCGAGAGGGCAACAGCCCAGAUCGCCAGCUAAGGUGCCUAAAUGUGAUUAAGUGGAAAGGAUGUGACGUUGCUUAGACAGUGAGGAUGUUGGCUUAGAGGCAGCCAUCAUUUAAACAGUGCGUAAUAGCUGACUCAUCGAGCGAUGUCGCGCCGAAAAUGAUUGGCGAUUAAAUCACAUACCGAAGCUGCGGAUUCCUGUGCGGUUCGCCGUCCAGGAGUGGUAGGAGAGCGUCAUGAACACAUUGAAGCCGGACUGUAAAGGACGGUCGAGUGCUCAUGAGUGAGAAUGCAGACAUGAGUAGCGAUAAACCAGAUGAGAAUUCUGGUCGCCGUAAACCUAAGGUUUCCUGGGGCAGGUUCGUCCUCCCAGGGUUAGUCGGGAGCUAAGAUGAGGCCGUAAGGCGUAAUCGAUGCACAGCAGAUUAAUAUUCCUGCACCGGCUAGGGUUAAGGUAAGGAGUCACGCAGAGAGAAAAGUGAUUAUCUGAUUGAAUUGGGAGCUUAGCCUUCGGGCGAAGCGAGUCACUGGACGAUCUGCCUAGAAAAGCUUCUUAUCGUUCCCCUGGUCGCCCGUACCGUAAACCGACACAGGUGGGUGAGUCGAAUAGACUAAGGCGCGCGAGAGAAACCUCUCUAAGGAACUCGGCACAUUAGCCCCGUAACUUCGGGAUAAGGGGUGCCUGAAGCCGCUGCAGCGAUGUGGCGGUGUAAGGUCUCAGUAAAUUGCGUUUAGCGACUGUUUAACAAAAACACAGCACUCUGCUAAGUCGUGAAGACGACGUAUAGGGUGUGACACGUGACCAAUGCGGAAAGAUCAAGGUGACUUGUUAGCCGUAAGGCGAAGCUCGUUGCCAAAGUCCCCGUGAAUGUCGGCCGUAACUAUAACGGUCCUAAGGUAGCGAAAUUCCUUGUCGGGUAAGUUCCGACCUGCACGAAUCGUGUAACGACUGAACGACUGUCUCGGAGAGGAUCUCGGCGAAAUUGUAACGGCGGUGAAGAUGCCGCCUGCCCGCAGUAGGACGGAAAGACCCUAUGCACCUUUACUGUAAGCUGGUAUUGUGUUCUGGUUAAUGAUGCGUAGCGUAGGUGGGAGACUUCGAAGCGAGGGCUUCGGUUCUCGUGGAGUCGAAAUGUGAAACACCACUCUUUGUUAAUUAGGAUUCUAACCCCGACCUGUUAGCCAGGCGGGGGACAGUGCUUGCGGGUCAGUUUGACUGGGGCGGUUUCCUCCCAAAGAGUAACGGAGGAGCGCGAAGCUUGGCUCAGCACGGUUGGCAACCGUGCGACGAGGGUAUGGCUAGAAGCCAGGUUAACUGCGAGACCAACAAGUCGAGCAGGUGCGAAAGCAGGCCCAAAUGAUCCGGUGGUAGAAUGUGGAAUUGCCAUCGCUCAACGGACAAAAGGUACGCUAGGGAUAACAGGCUGAUCGAGUCCAAGAGUUCAUAUCGACGACUCGGUUUGGCACCUCGAUGUCGGCUCAUCGCAUCCUGGGGCUGGAGAAGGUCCCAAGGGUCCGGCUGUUCGCCGGUUAAAGCGGUACGCGAGCUGGGUUCAGAACGUCGUGAGACAGUUCGGUCCUUAUCCACUGUGGGCGCAGGAAACUUGAGGGGUUCAUUCUUUAGUACGAGAGGACCGAGAAUGACGCACUUCUGGUGUGGCAGUUGUUCCGUCAGGGGCAUCGCUGCGUAGCCAUGUGCGGAAGAGAUAAGCGCUGAAAGCAUCUAAGUGCCAAGCUCAUCCCAAGAUAUGGUUUCCCGGACCGUGAGGUUCCUGAAGACCCCCGGAAGACUACCGGGUUGAUAGGCUGGACGUGUACGAGCCGUAAGGCUUUUAGCCGACCAGUACUAAUCGGUCGUGAGGCUUGAUCGCU